rnacentral:sRNA from 1 species
UUUCAAUUUGAGGAUUUAUUUCAUAAAAUGGCUGCAAAAAUAUAUAUGUAGAUUCAUAAUUACGUAGAUUUUU